UCUGCACCUUAGAACACACCAUAAAAGGCCAUGUGAGUACUGGAAACAAGUUCGGCGAAUCCCUGGAACCAACCCAUUCCCUCCCGACAGUUCCGGGGAGCAGGCAGGAUAAAGUAAAGCAGAAGGAGGGUGUGCAAAGCUGUAUUCAAAUUAAAAUCAUUUAAGUUGCUUUGGGCUCCUUGGUGCCAAAGUUCUGUAAACAUUCGCUUUCUUUCACUUUUCCUGGAAACGCGUAACCCUUUCACGUCCAACCUAUAGUAGUAUCAUAGGUGCCCUAAUCUGAGAAUUUUGACUGACUAAAUAAAAAAGCACCACUCGUGUAUAAAUAAAAUUAGUGAACUCUACAGAGAGGAGCUUAUUUGCAUAAUCUCUCUAAUGGAAGCACAAGACGAACUGAACGAUGGCAGCAUCUCAUCUGAGCUUGUCUUUAAAAACCCAGUAAAAUCAAUGUAUCUUCACGGAUUUUCCAACAGCCUUGGAGACAGCGGUAGUGGCCCCCUUAGUGGGGGGAGCAACAGGCAGGCCUUCUUACUGUCCAGGGCAAUAGAAAUAAUCUGCUCUCCAUCUCAACCCCACCUACCCCCAUCCCCCACCACCAGGAGCAAAGGUCAGCAGGCUUACUGGCCAGUAUAAGACUGGAGUUCCGGAUUCCUCUUCUGUAAUGCAGCCCACUCCAUGCGCGGGUGUCACCUGGCCCACUGUGUAUCACCCUGUAGGUACUGGGACUUGGUGCACUACUGUAUAUGCUCAUAGUCCAGCCACUGACACUAUGAAUAAUUAAAUCCUUUGCCUCUGACCUGAGUCUCGUACCUUCUGCCAGCAUCCAUGAGACUGUGCAGGCUAACUUCUUAGCUUACAAGUGGGGAAAAUCUCAGACCUUCCCCAGUUCCUGAUAAGCCCUUAGAAUAAUAUGGAGUCUUAGGAACACAGAACUCUCCAGAACCCAAUAUACCGAAGGUACUCAAUGAACACUUCGAGCAACUGAAAUGUCAGUCAGUGUCUCUGCCCUCUUGUAUCUCUACCAUAAGUAGGAGAAGCACUGAAGCAUUCCAGACCCAUGCAAGCAACCUACAGCACCCAGUGACCAGAAACUUCCGAGGAAGAGCAGAUGGAUAGGCGUGAUCUCCAAAAUGGACCUAUGUGUCUCCCUAUUCUCCAAAACAGAGUACCACACCAUCAUAACUGAUGAUCUGACCCAUGACAAUCUUGUGAUGGACCAAAGAUACACUCUAAAAGGACCAAGGCACAUGGCAGUUGUCAAAGACCAAGAGCAGAGGUCCUUGGGAAGUCAAUCCUAAAUCUACCUAUGGAUGUGGCAGCCUCACCUAUUCACAUUCAAGCCAGACACUAUCAGUAGAACCAUCUCUUUUCACUCACAGAUGCUGGAUAAACCAAUAAUUAACCUCACUGAUGCCUCAACUUACACAUCUGCGGAAAGGCGCCCCAUGCGGCUGACAUUUUUACGAAGCAAAAGCCAAAGUUACCCGCCCCCGUAAAGCUCUUAAAUUGUGCUUGCAAACAGGGACACCACGACUCAUUUCACUCUAAACCUGACAACCUAGCGCGCUCCAGCUGGAGACCACAGAAGGUAACAGGCAAAGUGGAAACUUUUCUCAGAGAUAAAACUAGUUCCUCUAAACAGUUUAGAAAAGCAUGUGCUUCCUGGGUCUGGACUCGGCAAGAUGCUCCCAUGAGGUGGGAGAAAGAAUCAAGAGGUGGGGAGGGGCGCGAGGCCCCAAUUUGGAGCCAGUCCGCGGCUCCACGUGGCAUACGUCACAGCGUCUCUACUCGAGAGGCCCGUGCCUGACUUUUUCCUCCGAAGAAAGUGUUCCACCGGGGGCGGGGCCAAAGUAGCCAGCGACUCUUUGGAAUCGGCCCGGAGCAAAUCGCCCAGCCCCUCCUUGCGAGGACAGGACACUGCCCCUACUCCCGGCGCAUCCUGGGAGUUGUAGUCCCGCAGCUCUGCAAGCUACCAGCUCGGAGUAGUAUAGAGACUACAGCUCCCAAAGCGCCUAGCGCGGGGCCCCGCCCCUCUUCGCGCUGAGGGCGGGCUCCUCACUGAACGCGACUUUCCCCACAUCUCUCCAGCUCCCGGAGACGGGGUGCUUCCUGAGUGGCCCACGACGGCCAGACUCACCCUGUAAUUAUGAUAGUGCGUCUCCACAAGAUGCCGGUGGCGCGACUUGUCAUGGCCGAAGUUGGAUUUCUCGCAGACCAGCAAGUGUCGGGGAACCUCUCGCAGCCUGCGCAGUGUGGCCAUGCUUUCUCCGGCACAAGCCCUGAGCGAGGUCGGGGAGCCCAGUCCCUCCGCUUCGCUCCGCCCCUCCGCCUGGCCCCGCGGGCAUGCGCAUUGCAGCUGCGCAGUGCCGGUUGAAGCUGCUCGGGCUUGGUGACCGGUUAGGGGUGAGGGCGGGCCUGGGUUUCUUCGGAACCUUAGGUUCCUGAACCUUGGGUGCCUGGAACCGCAAAUUCAUUGCCUACAGGGGAAAUACCUGGUACCUGGAAACCUGGAACUAGCUUUUUCAAACCCACCUUUCUCGCCAAAACCUCCGUCCCUCCCUGCUGCUGCCUUGCCGUAUAUCCUCCCUCUGUUCCUUCACAAAUGGUUUAGGAGUUUUGUGCAGGAAGAUAAUACACAAUUUCUGUUUUCGGCCCUACAAUACGACUCCGUCGGAACCACUUUAAGAUCCCUUUUUAAAAAUCCCACCUGAACGGCUUUAAAAAUUUUGUUACUAUUGUUACAAUGUGAGAAUUCGUUUUUCCAUAAUUUUUCUGAUCAAGUACUAUACGUUUCUCAAGCUGGAGUAUGCACAGCCCCAAUUCUGUGCUGAGAGGAUGCAAAACAGCAGACUAUCUGUGGUACAACUGUCUGGAGCGUCAAUUUUACUGUAAGAUUUGGAACAACCGAAGUUACGUAAUUUACAAGGUGGGAGCAGCAGGGAAGGUGGUGCUGGGAACUGUAACUAUUAAAGACACCAGUAAUAAAUCAGAGGACUCCAUCCUGCCAAGCCUAAACUUGACCUCACAGUCUUUAUCAGAACAGGGCUCCAGGCAGCUGCCACGAAUGGCAGGCAGCCUGGGAACUGGAUCCAGCAGGUACAGUGGAAAAAAUCAGCGGCCCCCAAGAAUAUAUGAUGCACUCCAAGUGAGGACUUGAAUCCCUGGAGUUUUGGGAAGGGCUCAGAGCCAGACUGCUUCAUGUCCUCUCCCUCUGACUGGUUGGGAAUCGAUGGAACAUGCAAACAUAUUAACACUGGCAGCUGUGUGGACUGUGUCAACACAUGGAAGUGCACAAAUGGAGUAUUUUAAAACAGAACACAAUGUUAUAUGUCAAUUGUAUCUCAAUAAAUCUGGGGGAGAAAAGCAGAACCCAAAACAGUCACACCGUCUGACUAAAACUCUGUCACAUAUGUUCAUUACAAUUUUGGAAGAGGAUUUUGAAAUGGUUGACAUUUUUUAUAAAGCUCAUUCUUUUGUUUAAAGUGAAAAACAUAUGUUUAGAAGUAAAUUGGUACAUAAAAAAUUUAAAUCUUAGCUAUCCAGGGACUUCAGAUAUCUAGGAUGAGGCAUUUCUGUUUAUCUUGGAUUUUACUAUAAUGUGAAAACUAUUAAU